rnacentral:rRNA from 1 species
UACGUAGGAGGCAAGCGUUGUCCGGAGUUACUGGGCGUAAAGCGCACGCAGGCGGUUUUGCAAGCCGGAUGUGAAAUCCCCGGGCUCAACCUGGGAAUGGCAUUCGGGACUGCAAGGCUGGAGUGCGGCAGAGGAGACUGGAAUUCCUGGUGUAGCAGUGAAAUGCGUAGAUAUCAGGAGGAAUACCGAUGGCGAAGGCAGGUCUCUGGGCUGACACUGACGCUCAUGCACGAAAGCGUGGGGAGCAAACAGG